CGACCGGCGCACGGGUGAGUAACGCGUAUGUAAUCUACCUGUAACAGAGGGAUAACCCGGAGAAAUCCGGACUAAUACCUCAUAGCACAUAUUAUUCGCAUGAAUUUUAUGUUAAAGAGACUCGGUUACAGAUGAACAUGCGUUCCAUUAGCUAGUUGGCGGGGUUACGGCCCACCAAGGCAACGAUGGAUAGGGGUUCUGAGAGGAAGGUCCCCCACACUGGUACUGAGACACGGCCCAG
rnacentral:rRNA from 1 species